rnacentral:rRNA from 1 species
UACGUAUGGGGCGAGCGUUGUUCGGAAUUAUUGGGUGUAAAGGGCGUCUAGGCGGGAGAUUAAGUUAGAUGUGAAAGGCGUGGGCUUAACCCACGAAUUGCAUCUAAAACUGGUUUUCUUGAGUUCGGGAGAGGAGAGCGGAAUUCUUGGUGUAGCGGUGAAAUGCGUAGAUAUCAGGAGGAACACCGAUGGCGAAGGCAGGUCUCUGGGCCACUACUGACGCUGAGAAGCGAAAGCAUGGGGAGCGAACAGGAUUAGAUACCCCCGUAGUCCCUGA